rnacentral:rRNA from 1 species
AGAGUUUGAUCCUGGCUCAGGAUGAACGCUAGCGGCAGGCUUAACACAUGCGAGUCGAGGGGCAGCGCGAUGUAGCAAUACAUUGGCGGCGACCGGCGCACGGGUGCGUAACACGUAUGAAAUCUGCCCUGUACUGGGAGAUAACCCGGAGAAAUCCGGACUAAUAUCCCAUAAUAAACGAGAUGGCAUCAUCUUGUUUUGAAAGCUCCGGCGGUACAGGAUGAUCAUGCGCACGAUUAGCUAGUUGGUGAGGUAAUGGCUCACCAAGGCUACGAUCGUUAGGGGGCCUGAGAGGGUUAUCCCCCACACUGGUACUGAGACACGGACCAGACUCCUACGGGAGGCAGCAGUGAGGAAUAUUGCGCAAUGGAGGCAACUCUGACGCAGCCAUGCCGCGUGCAGGAAGAAGGCGCUACGCGUUGUAAACUGCUUUUAACCGGGAAGAAACCCCAGGACGUGUCCUGGGUUGACGGUACCGGAGGAAUAAGCACCGGCUAACUUCGUGCCAGCAGCCGCGGUAAUA